rnacentral:rRNA from 1 species
UGUAGUCAUAUGCUUGUCUCAAAGAUUAAGCCAUGCAUGUCUAAGUAUAAAAGUAUUCUAUACUUGAAACUGCGAAUAGCUCAUUAAAUCAGUUAUAGUUUAUUUGAUGGUGCCUUACUACAUGGAUACCCGUAGUAAUUCUAGAGCUAAUACAUGCCAAAAAAACCCAACCGCAAGGGCGGGUUGUAUUUAUUAGAUAAAAACCAUUACUCGCAAGAGUUUUUGUGGUGAUUCAUAAUAACUGUUCGAAUCGCAUGCCGCAAGGCGGCGAUAGAUCAUUCAAAUUUCUGCCCUAUCAGCUCUCGACGGUAGUGUAGUGGACUACCGUGGCAUCAACGGGUAACGGGGAAU